ensembl:lncRNA
UUUAUUUAUUUAAUCAUUUAUUUGGCUCCGCCAACACUCAUUCUGUAGUUCCACAACUGGUCUGGGACACAUAGUUCCACAACUGGUCUGGGACACAUAGUUCCACAACUGGUCUGGGACACAUAGUUCCACAACUGGACUGGGACUGGACUGUUGCCAAGCACCACAUAUACAUUUUCCUACACACUAGCUUGCUACUGCUACUUUGUGUAGGUCUACACGUUACCGUCCUCUCCUGACGACCAUUCAUAAUUUAACUCAAAUGUUAUUUGUGGAAAUAUGUUCAUUUUUGCGGUGCGAACUUUGUUACAAUCUAAGAUAGAUAACAAUCGUUAAUGUAAUUAACAGUUAUUAGAACACCUGUAAAGCGGAGUGAUACAUGUAUAGUUAAAAGUCCCGGUGCUGUUGUACUCUACUCCAAUCAAAUUACUUGGUCGUAUUAUAAAUCCAUAUCAAUACAUUGCACAGUCAUAGCCCUGAUUUCUGUUUGCUCUGUGGUAUUGACGGAUGCAGUGAGGAAUAUAGUGUACAAUUCCUUCUAUCAUCAUGUAAAGAGAAACCCCCUUCAACACCUACUUGAUUGCAACCGACCAGAUGAACAACCAUCGGAGGAAAGCCAAGUACCACCGGAACAAGACAACAUUAAAAAAACGAUCAGCUUCUAGUUUCACUGAUCAGCAACUCCAUACAUCUCACUCAGAUGAAGGGCAAAGGGGCAUUGACCAACAUGGAGCUGUCACAGUGCAACAAGAUCUGACAACACAUGCCAAUGCUUUUGUGAUAAAUGCCAGAACCAAGCAUCAUCCCUCACAGAAAGGCGUGAAUUACAUUGUUGCUGGGGUACAGCAAUAUCAAUCAUCACUAUUGGACAACCUCAGGAAGCAGAUGGAGGCAGUGCUAAAGAAGCAUUCAGGAAGCACAUCAGGUCAACUUGAAGAAGAUAUGCAAUGGAUAUAUUUGACAAUUUCAUUGACCCUUCUGCUGGCGUUGCAACAACAUUUCGACAGGACAGUGUUAUUAAGAAGCAGUUUAGCUGUUUGGACGCAGAGGAAAUUCACAUUGAUCGAACCAUAUGCAGGAUGAAAUGUGGAGGAUCAAAGACAUUUUCAUCAAUUAUUUUACUAUGUACCAUUAGUCAAAUUCUAGAACAGUUCUUAUCAACACCCAAGGAUUUUGUCUACGGUUGAUGUACAGGGAAAGUUUUUUUUCAUGACAUUGUUGAUGAUGCUCUUCUAAAAUCACAUCCCUUAUUUUCAGAGAAACCAAAGGCAUUACAGAUUGUUUUGUACGCGGAUUAAAUAGAGAUCUGUAAUUCACUAGGAUCCUUUGCAUCAAAAAGCAAGCUGUUAAUGGUGUACUACACCCUAGGAAAUAUAAAUCCAAAAUGCAGAUCUAAACUGGCUGCUAUCAGGCUACCUGCCAUGUCUAGAUCAGCAGACCUCCGUCAAUCUGGUGUAGAUGUAAUAUUGAAUAGAAUCAAGGAAGACAUGGAUGCAAUGUACAGUUGGGUUAAAAUGCUAACUAUUAACGGAGUGAAAACAAUAUAUGGUGCCAUGGUCUCUCUCUGUGGAGACACCCUUGCACAACAUGAACUAGCAUGGUUCAAAGAGAGUGUGGGCUUUGCCUACAGUAAGUGCAGACACUGAGGGUUAUUUUGAGGACAUGCAGUCACACUUCAAUGAGGAUGCAUAUACUAAAAGGACAUUGGAUGUCAGACAGUGUGAUGAAAUAGAAAAGGCACAGACGGACUUGCUUCGCAACAGCCUGAGAACAACAUACGGGAUCAAUAUAAGGAGCAAGUUAGUUGAAUUCCCAGUCUUUGAUGUCAUACAACAAACUCUGCAAGACAUAAUACAUGUAAUUCUGGAGGGCAUAACCCCAUUGGAAACCAAAUGUGGUUUGAAUCAUCUUGUUGUGUCAGGACAGAUUGAUCUGGACUCAGUGAAUUCUGCUAUUCUUGGUUUCCCUUAUUCUCCUCUUGAUGUUAGAGAUCAGUCAUCCCCUAUUUCUGUUAGUACAUUAAAGUGAUGGUAAACUAAAACAGUGAUCUGGGCAAAUGCUUGUCCUUCUAAGGAUAUUUGCCAUUUGUUUUGGAGAGUUUGGAUGUCAAUACAGAUAUGCAACUGAUAUGCGCUAAUAGAGAUUGUACAGAUAGUAUUUGCACCUGUUCUUUCCAUUGUGACUGUGUCUAGUUUGAAGUGACUCAUUGAAAAUUAUUUGAAGCAUUGGAAGGAGCUUUUUCCAGACCCAAACAGCAUUAUAUGAUACAUUUGCCAUCACAGAUAAAGUCAUUGGGGCCAAUGGUUAGACAUAUGUGUGUGCAGUUCGAGUCUAAACAGUGUUUCUUUAAACAAUGGGCUUCCAAGCUCAAUUAAAAAAAUAUUUGCAAGUCUUUGAUCAAUCAGAACCAAAUAUAUGAGAGCUGCCAGAAUGUUGACAGUUCAAUGCACCCAAUUUUUUCAAAUGAAAUGGAGAUGGGACCUGUAUCAGAGGUUAAAGAUCUACAAUAUUUAUGUGGAAAAUGUAGGGACUUCCUAGGUUUCAAUGAAGUAAACCAUGCUGUAGCAGUCAAAUAGCUAGUAAUAAAUUGUAAUAAAAACAUAACUCAGAAGUCCAUGAUCUUUGCCAAAGUACUGAAUGGUAAUAUGCCAGAAUUUGGACUGGUCAAAUACAUAUUUCUUGUUGAUUCUAGGCUUUAUUGUUUGGUAUAUCAACCAUUUCAAACUAUACGCUUUGAUAUAAACAUCAUUGCUUAUCAAGUUGAAGUCCCACACCUUGCACAGGCCACUGAGUUAGUGGAUGCUGAAAAGCUGGUUGAUUUGACCUCUAAUUACACAAUUAGCAACAAACUUAUGUACAAGUCAAAUACCAUCUUGGGGAUGUAAUAGAAUUGUACAACAGUUCAAAUGAUUCAUAGUGUGUUUCCCAGAUAUGAAAAGUGUACCGUCUUUGUUAUGUACUGUAUUUUGUUCUGUGCUGGGAUUGACAAUAAAACAGUGAAUUCCAUUUGGUCAUUAUCUGUUGUUAAUAUGUGAAGAGAUGAAAAGGAUA